AUGGUAUUAAACCCUUUAACGGUCGCGCAAAGUGCGAACCCUCGUGCGUGCCACAUCCGCAGGUUUUACUGUCGCAUUUUUACUGUGUCGAGUGAGGACAGACACAAAACGCUCGCACCCCUCGCUCAUAGUUCUUUCCUUCUCUCCUCCCAGCUAGGGUUCCCACCACCGCCGCCGCCGCCGCCGCCACCCUCACGGCGCUCGUGCUUCGUAUCCCGUCCCGAGCUCCACCUAUCAUCCAACACCGUCUCCCGCCGCCGGCGUCUGGCAGCGCGUUGGCGCCGCCGCGGCCACGCUACUUGCGGUGGUCCUCGUCGCCGUCGCGUUGGGGCGCCAGCGCCUCCGCCACAGGGCUCCGGCCGAAGGGAUCCCCGCGCUGGAGGACGGCUGCACGGUCGCUCACGGCAUAGGGAGCGAGGCAGUCGAUGA
rnacentral:rRNA from 1 species